AACGCACCUUGCGCUCCUUGGUAUUCCGAGGAGCAUGCCUGUUUGAGUGUCAUGAAAUUCUCAACUGCACUGGGUUUCUUCGACCUGGUGUGAAGUUGGACUUGGAGGAUAAUUGCUGGCGCACUCCCUCGGGAGGGCUUGUCGGCUCCUCUUGAAUGCAUGAGCUUUCCAGAUCGGUCAGCGACUCCGAUGUGAUAAAUAUCUACGUCGGUCGGUCCUUCCAAUCAAAGCUUCACCACUCGCUGACGCCUCGUGCGCCCUGCGACUUUGACAAAUUCGACCUCAAAUCAGGUAGGACUACCCGCUGAACUUAA
rnacentral:misc_RNA from 1 species